rfam:Marinobacter santoriniensis NKSG1 contig00017, whole genome shotgun sequence.
GGGGACGACUUGGCUUCGACGCCGGUGACGAACCCUUGGGUGCAUGUCGAGAUGGCAGCGAAUCUCGUAAAUCCAAAGCUGCUUUAAAAUAGUCGCAAACGACGAAAACUACGCACUGGCGGCGUAAGCCGUUCCAGUCGUCCUGGCUGAGGCGCCUAUAACUCAGUAGCAACAUCCCAGGACGUCAUCGCUUAUAGGCUGCUCCGCUACCCAGAGCUCACUGGUUAGCGGCUAAGAUUAAAGAGCUCGCCUCUUGCACCCUGACCUUCGGGUCGCUUGAGGUUAAAUCAAUAGAAGGACACUAAGCAUGUAGACCUCAAGGCUGAGUGCUGGCGGACGCGGGUUCAAUUCCCGCCGUCUCCACCA